AUUGAACGCUGGCGGCAUGCCUUACACAUGCAAGUCGAACGGUAACAGGUCUUCGGAUGCUGACGAGUGGCGAACGGGUGAGUAAUACAUCGGAACGUGCCCAGACGUGGGGGAUAACGAGGCGAAAGCUUUGCUAAUACCGCAUACGAUCUAAGGAUGAAAGCAGGGGACCGCAAGGCCUUGUGCGUUUGGAGCGGCCGAUGGCAGAUUAGGUAGUUGGUGGGAUAAAAGCUUACCAAGCCGACGAUCUGUAGCUGGUCUGAGAGGACGACCAGCCACACUGGGACUGAGACACGGCCCAGACUCCUACGGGAGGCAGCAGUGGGGAAUUUUGGACAAUGGGCGAAAGCCUGAUCCAGCAAUGCCGCGUGCAGGAUGAAGGCCUUCGGGUUGUAAACUGCUUUUGUACGGAACGAAAAGGCUCUGGCUAAUACCUGGGGCACAUGACGGUACCGUAAGAAUAAGCACCGGCUAACUACG
rnacentral:rRNA from 1 species